rnacentral:rRNA from 1 species
GAUGAACGCUAGCUACAGGCUUAACACAUGCAAGUCGAGGGGCAGCAUCAUCAAAGCUUGCUUUGAUGGAUGGCGACCGGCGCACGGGUGAGUAACACGUAUCCAACCUGCCGACAACACUGGGAUAGCCUUUCGAAAGAAAGAUUAAUACCGGAUGGCAUAGUUUUCCCGCAUGGGAUAAUUAUUAAAGAAUUUCGGUUGUCGAUGGGGAUGCGUUCCAUUAGGCAGUUGGCGGGGUAACGGCCCACCAAACCAACGAUGGAUAGGGGUUCUGAGAGGAAGGUCCCCCACAUUGGAACUGAGACACGGUCCAAACUCCUACGGGAGGCAGCAGUGAGGAAUAUUGGUCAAUGGACGAGAGUCUGAACCAGCCAAGUAGCGUGAAGGAUGACUGCCCUAUGGGUUGUAAACUUCUUUUAUACGGGAAUAAAGUUAGCCACGUGUGGCUUUUUGUAUGUACCGUAUGAAUAAGGAUCGGCUAACUCCGUGCCAGCAGCCGCGGUAAUACGGAGGAUCCGAGCGUUAUCCGGAUUUAUUGGGUUUAAAGGGAGCGUAGGCGGGUUGUUAAGUCAGUUGUGAAAGUUUGCGGCUCAACCGUAAAAUUGCAGUUGAUACUGGCGACCUUGAGUGCAACAGAGGUAGGCGGAAUUCGUGGUGUAGCGGUGAAAUGCUUAGAUAUCACGAAGAACUCCGAUUGCGAAGGCAGCUUACUGGAUUGUAACUGACGCUGAUGCUCGAAAGUGUGGGUAUCAAACAGGAUUAGAUACCCUGGUAGUCCACACAGUAAACC